rnacentral:rRNA from 1 species
AGCGAACCGGGGGAACUGAAACAUCUAAGUACCCCGAGGAAAAGAAAUCAACCGAGAUUCCCCCAGUAGCGGCGAGCGAACGGGGAGCAGCCCAGAGUCUGAAUCAGCUUGUGUGUUAGUGGAACGGUCUGGAAAGUCCGACGGUACAGGGUGAUAGUCCCGUACACCAAAAUGCACAGGUUGUGAACUCGAAGAGUAGGGCGGGACACGUGGUAUCCUGUCUGAAUAUGGGGGGACCAUCCUCCAAGGCUAAAUACUCCUGACUGACCGAUAGUGAACCAGUACCGUGAGGGAAAGGCGAAAAGAACCCCGGCGAGGGGAGUGAAAAAGAACCUGAAACCGUGU